UCCCUCAACGCCUGUCUUCCCUCGCGCGUAGAGAGUGACUCGAAGGACCCCCUCUCCUCUUCGCUGCAGCCCCUCCCCAUGCACGCUGGGAGACUCUUGGAGGGGAUAAGGUGGGGCCCGGAGAGGAAGAGAAGACAAUCGGAUUGGAUAGGCAGCUGCCAUGGCAACUGGAGGCUGUGGUUAUAUUGUCAUAGUAACCGAUGUGUGCGGACAGGGUCACCCUCCCCUUGGCCAAUGGAUUCCCAGGAAACCACCCAGGGUUCCCCGUUGGCUUCCCUUCCAUCUAAAGGCCUCCCCCAAGUUAGGAAUCGAUAUAGUUCUCCCCGGUGGUGAAGUCCACUUCCUCCUCCCUUCCCACUUCCCACAGCAACUGGGGGGACACCCCGAGGCAUUCACCAUGGGCUUUUCCACCCGCCUGCGAGCGGGAACCACCUCCGUAGUUUCCUCUCAGAGCCGGGCGUGGAGAGGGCUGGGCCUGCGAAGAGGAUGCAUGGCCUGGAGGCUGGCGGGCGGCGGGCUGGAGUCGGGAGGGCGAGGCGACAGCGCCAAGCGGCGAGGAAGGGCAAGGGGUUUCCCCACAACUGCCUUGGGCUCUGGGAGGCGGGAUCCCGCCUGGACGGGGUCCCUGAGGGAGGAGAGCGGCACACGACAGCCGCGAUGCCUUCCCUGCCGACGGGGAUAGCCGACUUCUGGCGAGUCGACCCCUCCCCCAAAUCCACCCCACCCGCGUACUCCCUCCUGACCUAGCUGUCGCGAGCCUGCCGCGAGGAGGCCAGGGUGAGGGUGGGAACACAUCCUAGAAGGCUAACACGUGGUUUUCUAUCAUUUAAGCCGGGGACAAGCCGGAAGGCUGACUAGCGCCAUCACUCUGAUAGGCACCCCGCAGUGGGGAUCCUGCUUGAUUAUUAAAGGCAGACCUCCAAGUUCCUCCCUGCUCUGCAACCUUUCUCUUCUCACGGGUCUGCAGUGUUUUAAAAGUCGUCAUUCUGUGUCGUUGAGUUAGAGAGGAAAACAUCGGAUAAAAGAGGAUCAAGAAGAACGAACCCUAGAUACAUCUGUCUGGUGAAAGGAGUCUAGGAAAAGAAGUUUCAUUCUUAGAACAAAUCUUUUUGGAUAUUUAUUAUGUGUGUUUUGUGUCAGGUUUCGGGCCAAAAAGCUGAAAUAAAGAACGAAGUCAAUAAUAAUAUGAAGUGUAUGAGAAAUAGCUGGAAAAUUCAUCAUCCAUGACUUGAAGAAAUUGACGUUUUACAAGUUAUAUUUUCGGUGAAGAGGCACUUUCAAGAUCCUUCUCUGAGACCUGCACCAAUAAGACUAUACCAAUGUUCAGUUGAAACAUCAGACACUGUUCUGGUUAUGAUGGACACCACAGUGAAAGAGACCUGGUCCCUGCCUUGAGGAAACCCAACUGCUGGUAGAGAGCUCAGAGUAAUGAUUAGGAUGCAAUAUGAGGGAUGCAGUAAUUGGGGCAAUUCCUAUGGCUCUAAUGCAGUAUCAGGCACUAAUACUUAUGUAUGAGCAAAAAUUGAUGAGGAUGAUCAUGUUUUAAUACACCAGUACAGACCAAAAUGCCUCUUUGGUAAUUUUCAGAUCUACUUCUGGGAACCGUCACAGCCUGAGAAAGAUGGCAUGCCCUGAAUGGAAUUCACAGAGAAUUAUUUUAAGUCAUGCUACUGGCCCCGCCCAGUUAUGUAACAACUUGCAUUUCCUCAAUUCUCUGGAAUGUGGCCAGUCAGGAACUUCCACAUUUGGUUUUUUUUUUUUCCCCCAUUUGUGGGUAAGAAAGUAAAAGAGGCAGGAAAACUGAAUUGAGAAAGAAGAAAGAAUAGGGGAAGAGAGAAAGAAAAAAGAAAACCAUGAAGCCUGGAAGAGGAGAAAGAAGAGAUAGAUGAGCAAAGAAGCACAUUGCCUGGUGGUAGUAAUAGUUGUCAGACACCCAUCUAUUAUAAUCUGUUUUCCAUGGGAGAUUUUAAGAAGAGGCUAGAUCCCCAGUCUGUCUUAAAAUCAAGAAAAGGGACUCUGUUGCCUCUAAAGUAUACUUCCAGACUCAGCAAUCUCUAAAUUCUGAGUGGGGCAUCCCUAGUUUUGCUGCCUAAAAUCUAUGACAGUUGGAAAUGAUUCCAUUUAAGAUCCAGUUCAAGAAGCUAUACACCCUGAGGAACUUUAUAUUGCCAUUUAGAGGACCGAUAUUCUCCAGAUUGCUUGAGCCCAGGAGUUUGAGACCAGCCUGGGCAACAUGGCAAAACUCCAUCUCUACCAAAAAAAAAAAAAAAACAAAAUUAGCUGGGCAUGGUGGUACACAUCUGUAGAACCAGCUACUCUGGAGGCUGAGCUGAGAGAACCCCUUGAGCCUAGGAGAUGGAGGUUGCUGUGAGCCAAGAUCGUGCCACUGCACUCAAGCCUGGGUGACAGAGCCAGACCCUAUCUCAUAAAUAAAUAAAUGUCAAUAUUCUCCAA
rnacentral:lncRNA from 1 species